GCAUAUCAUCAUGCGGAGGAAAGAAACUAACAAGGAUUCCCCUAGUAACGGCGUAUGAAGAGGGAAGAGCCCAAGAUUGAAAGCUGGCGUCUUCGGCGUCCGCAUUGUAAUCUCAAGAAGUGUUUUCCGCUUCGGACCAAGCCUAAGUCCCUUGGAAAAGGGCAUCAUAGAGGGUGAUAAUCCCGUACAUGGCUUGGAGCGCCCGAAGCUUUGUGAUACGCUUUCUAAGAGUCGAGUUGUUUGGGAAUGCAGCUCAAAAUGGGUGGUAAAUGCCAUCUAAGGCUAAAUAUUGGGGAGAGACCGAUAGCGAACAAGUACAGUGAUGGAAAGAUGAAAAGAACUUUGAAAAGAGAGUUAAACAGUACGUGAAAUUGCCAAAAGGGAAGGGUAGGAGGUCAGAGAUGCGGCCUGGGAUUCAGCCUUGCUUUUGCUUGGUGUUUUUCCCAGAUUGAUACGCUUUCUAAGAGUCGAGUUGUUUGGGAAUGCAGCUCAAAAUGGGUGGUAAAUGCCAUCUAAGGCUAAAUAUUGGGGAGAGACCGAUAGCGAACAAGUACAGUGAUGGAAAGAUGAAAAGAACUUUGAAAAGAGAGUUAAACAGUACGUGAAAUUGCCAAAAGGGAAGGGUAGGAGGUCAGAGAUGCGGCCUGGGAUUCAGCCUUGCUUUUGCUUGGUGUUUUUCCCAGAUUGCAGGCCAACGUCGGUUUUGGGCACUGGAGAAGGGUAGGAGGAACGUGGCACCUCUCGGGGUGUGUUAUAGCCUCCUACUGGAUACAGCGACCGAGACCGAGGACAGCAGCGUACUCGCAAGAGCGGGCCUUCGGGCACCUUUACGCUUAGGGCGUUGGCAUAGAAGCCCUCUACCACCCGUCUUGAAACACGGACC
rnacentral:rRNA from 1 species